rnacentral:rRNA from 1 species
CCUACGGGAGGCAGCAGUGGGGAAUCUUGCGCAAUGGGCGAAAGCCUGACGCAGCCAUGCCGCGUGAAUGAUGAAGGUCUUAGGAUUGUAAAAUUCUUUCACCGGGGACGAUAAUGACGGUACCCGGAGAAGAAGCCCCGGCUAACUUCGUGCCAGCAGCCGCGGUAAUACGAAGGGGGCUAGCGUUGCUCGGAAUUACUGGGCGUAAAGGGAGCGUAGGCGGAUAGUUUAGUCAGAGGUGAAAGCCCAGGGCUCAACCUUGGAAUUGCCUUUGAUACUGGCUAUCUUGAGUACGGAAGAGGUAUGUGGAACUCCGAGUGUAGAGGUGAAAUUCGUAGAUAUUCGGAAGAACACCAGUGGCGAAGGCGACAUACUGGUCCGUUACUGACGCUGAGGCUCGAAAGCGUGGGGAGCAAACAGGAUUAGAUACCCUGGUAGUCCACGCUGUAAACGAUGAGUGCUAGUUGUCGGCAUGCAUGCAUGUCGGUGACGCAGCUAACGCAUUAAGCACUCCGCCUGGGGAGGUACGGGUCGCAAGAUUAAAAACUACAAAAGUUAGUUAAGUUAGGACGGCGUGAGAGCGACCGAGGACCACACGGAGGGGAAGGAGG